ACGGGGAUGCUUAUGGAAGGAGUGCUUGCACUUUGGAAAUGAGUAUCUUAGUGGCGGACGGGUGAGUAACGCGUGGGUAACCUGCCCCAUACCGGGGGAUACCACCUGGAAACAGGUGCUAAUACCGCAUAAGCGCACGGGAGCGCAUGCUCCUGUGUGAAAAACUCCGGUGGUAUGGGAUGGACCCGCGUCUGAUUAGCCAGUUGGCAGGGUAACGGCCUACCAAAGCGACGAUCAGUAGCCGGCCUGUGAGGGUGGACGGCCACAUUGGGACUGAGACACGGCCCAAACUCCUACGGGAGGCAGCAGUGGGGAAUAUUGCACAAUGGGGGAAACCCUGAUGCAGCGACGCCGCGUGAGUGAAGAAGUAUUUCGGUAUGUAAAGCUC
rnacentral:rRNA from 1 species